rnacentral:rRNA from 1 species
UUCUAAUUGCUUUACAAUUAGUAAAACCUGCUCACUGAGCCUAUUUAACAGCCGCAUUUUGUGCUAAGGUAGCAUAAUAAUUUGCCUGAUAAUUUCAGGAUAGAAUGAACGGUUUAACAUGAAAUUUUCUUUAUUAAUUUUACUACUUGAAAUUUACAUAAAAGUAAAAAGGCUUUUAUUUUCAGAGGGACGACAAGACCCUGACGAGCUUUACUUUAGUUUGGCUGGGGCGGCAAAAAACCAAAGCUUUAUUAUUAUUGAUUAUAAUCCUCCAUUUUGAUUUCUAGCUACCGCAGGGAUAACAGCAUAAUCUGCUUUUAGAGAUCUUAUUAAAAAGCAAGUUUGUGACCUCGAUGUUGAAUAAAAUUCUGUUAGGGGCAGGACCCUAUCUUAGAAAGUCUGUUCGACUUUUAAUUAUUUACA